UACAGGGGGGGCAAGCGUUGUUCGGAAUUACUGGGCGUAAAGGGCUCGUAGGCGGCCGGCUAAGUCCGACGUGAAAUCCCCAGGCUUAACCUGGGAACUGCGUCGGAUACUGGCGGGCUUGAAUCCGGGAGAGGGAUGCGGAAUUCCAGGUGUAGCGGUGAAAUGCGUAGAUAUCUGGAGGAACGCCGGUGGCGAAGGCGGCAUCCUGGACCGGCAUUGACGCUGAAUAGCGAAAGCCAGGGGAGCAAACGGG
rnacentral:rRNA from 1 species